rnacentral:rRNA from 1 species
AAUCAACGCUGGCGGCGUGCCUCAGACAUGCAAGUCGAACGCUGCUGUUCGCCUUCGGGUGGACAGCGGAGUGGCGCACGGGUGAGUAACACGUAGGUAAUCUACCUUUGGGUGGGGAAUAACAGCCGGAAACGGCUGCUAAUACCGCAUAAUGCAGCGGCAUCGCAUGAUGACAGUUGUUAAAGCGAGGGAUCGUAAGACCUCGCGCCUGAAGAGGAGCCUGCGGCAGAUUAGGUAGUUGGUGAGGUAAUGGCUCACCAAGCCUGCGAUCUGUAACCGGCCUGAGAGGGCGGUCGGUCACGCUGACACUGACAUACGGGUCAGACUCCUACGGGAGGCAGCAGUCGGGAAUUUUGGG